rnacentral:rRNA from 1 species
AGUGAACGCUGGCGGUAGGCCUAACACAUGCAAGUCGAACGGCAGCACAGUAAGAGCUUGCUCUUACGGGUGGCGAGUGGCGGACGGGUGAGGAAUACAUCGGAAUCUACUUUUUCGUGGGGGAUAACGUAGGGAAACUUACGCUAAUACCGCAUACGACCUACGGGUGAAAGCAGGGGAUCUUCGGACCUUGCGCGAUUGAAUGAGCCGAUGUCGGAUUAGCUAGUUGGCGGGGUAAAGGCCCACCAAGGCGACGAUCCGUAGCUGGUCUGAGAGGAUGAUCAGACACACUGGAACUGAGACACGGGCCAGACUCCUACGGGAGGCAGCAGUGGGGAAUAUUGGACAAUGGGCGCAAGCCUGAUCCAGCCAUACCGCGUGGGUGAAGAAGGCCUUCGGGUUGUAAAGCCCUUUUGUUGGGAAAGAAAAGCAGCAGGUUAAUACCCCGCUGUUCUGACGGUACCCAAAGAAUAAGCACCGGCUAACUUCGUG